rnacentral:rRNA from 1 species
CGGCGGCAGCUACACAUGCAAGUCGAACGGUAACAGGAAGCAGCUUGCUGCUUUGCUGACGAGUGGCGGACGGGUGAGUAAUGUCUGGGAAACUGCCCGAUGGAGGGGGAUAACUACUGGAAACGGUAGCUAAUACCGCAUAAUGUCGCAAGACCAAAGAGGGGGACCUUCGGGCCUCUUGCCAUCGGAUGUGCCCAGAUGGGAUUAGCUAGUUGGUGAGGUAACGGCUCACCAAGGCGACGAUCCCUAGCUGGUCUGAGAGGAUGACCAGCCACACUGGAACUGAGACACGGUCCAGACUCCUACGGGAGGCAGCAGUGGGGAAUAUUGCACAAUGGGCGCAAGCCUGAUGCAGCCAUGCCGCGUGUAUGAAGAAGGCCUUCGGGUUGUAAAGUACUUUCAGCGGGGAGGAAGGGGUUAAGGUUAAUAACCUUAGCCAUUGACGUUACCCGCAGAAGAAGCACCGGCUAACUCCGUGCCAGCAGCCGCGGUAAUACGGAGGGUGCAAGCGUUAAUCGGAAUUACUGGGCGUAAAGCGCACGCAGGCGGUCUGUCAAGUCGGAUGUGAAAUCCCCGGGCUCAACCUGGGAACUGCAUUCGAAACUGGCAGGCUUGAGUCUCGUAGAGGGGGGUAGAAUUCCAGGUGUAGCGGUGAAAUGCGUAGAGAUCUGGAGGAAUACCGGUGGCGAAGGCGGCCCCCUGGACGAAGACUGACGCUCAGGUGCGAAAGCGUGGGGAGCAAACAGGAUUAGAUACCCUGGUAGUCCACGCCGUAAACGAUGUCUAUUUGGAGGUUGUGCCCUUGAGGCGUGGCUUCCGGAGCUAACGCGUUAAAUAGACCGCCUGGGGAGUACGGCCGCAAGGUUAAAACUCAAAUGAAUUGACGGGGGCCCGCACAAGCGGUGGAGCAUGUGGUUUAAUUCGAUGCAACGCGAAGAACCUUACCUGGUCUUGACAUCCACAGAACUUGGCAGAGAUGCCUUGGUGCCUUUCGGGAACUGUGAGACAGUGCUGCAUGGCUGUCGUCAGCUCGUGUUGUGAAAUGUUGGGUUAGUCCCGCAACGAGCGCAACCCUUAUCCCUUUGUUGCCAGCGGUUCCGGCCGGGAACUUCAAAGGAGA